GUUCUUUGAGGUGGAGAUUUAGUGUCGCCACACACCUCCGCAAGGAGGUUAGCAAGAGAUGCAGGGACAGGCACACCUGCCAAAGGAC
rnacentral:ncRNA from 12 species